UGGCUCGGAGGUUUGACUAUUGGAAGAAACCCUAGUGCUGACAGAGAGGUGUUAGGUUGCACGCUGGGAAUUGAAAUGUCACGCAGUCAUGUCAUCUUUUUGUUAGCAGAGCUGCCGUAAUUAUGCUCUUUGCCUUCACUUCAUACCCUGUGAGGACGGCUGCAGCCAGGACAAUUUUCCUCACGCCUAGGUAGAACUGAAAGCGUGUGUGUAGCCAGCUAUAGUGGCUCAGAUGCCUGACACCAGCUCCUUCAAAGGAGAUAACUGCAUAUGCUGUUUGGGGCGGUUUGAAAUCCUAAGAAGCACGCAGAGCAUGUUCAAAGCUACAGCUCCACCUAAACAAGAAUGAUUGCAGUAAUACAAUUCCUAAUGUGGAUGCUGUUAACAGAAGAGUUGUAAACCAAACCCAGGAUUCUUUGCAUCGUCACAGCAGCUGUUCAGACAUACUGUAUUCCCUCAGCAUCCACACAGAAAACUUGAGGUGAUAACUACCAUGGAUUUGUGAUGCAGCCAGCAGAAAACAGCUUAGAUUCCAUUAUCUGUCUCUGCCAGCCUGCAGUAACUUGGAUGUCUGCAAACUUGAAUGUAUUUGAGCUGCUGCUGUGGCCUGAAAUGGUGACUCAUUCUCCAUUUUGCGAUUUUUCAGGAAUUUCCACACAAUUGAAAAAGGUGCACUGGUGAAAACCCCACCUUCAAUUGCAUGAGCUACUGAUGGAAAUGAGUGCAGGGCUCACAGUGUAUGCAUGCACAACUCUUCUCCAUUCUCAGACUCAAUCUGUUAAGUCAGACAUUGUAUGACUUGUCAAGUCACUAAACUCCUAAUCACUGGCUUGUUACCAUCUGUUUCCUCUCAAUGUAGGUUACAUUUUUAUUUAGAGUAGUUUUUCCUGGUUGUCUGUGUAUACAUUUAGGAGCAGGUUUAUGAUAAAUCAAAAUAAACUGCUUUUAAAAUGCAUUAAAAAUAGGUUGUGCCAGUUUAAUUAAGUUUACAAGUCUCCUGAAAUUAAACCAGUAUGUAUUUCAUCAGCAAAGUGGCCAGUGACAGUACUGAACGCUCAAAGGUGUGGUCAGGAUGUAUAAACAGGAGACAGUGCAUUUAAGUGACUGUGAAAGCGCAGUGGUGCUUAUGAGAAACACUGUUAACUGUCCACAGGAGAUCUAUGCAUCAAAAAUUUGCUUAGCAAGUGGGUAUUGUUUUUAUGGAAUGAUACAACUGAAUUAAAUUUGGACUUUUAACAAAUGUUUCUACCUGGAAAUUUGAUUAAAAUGUACUAGUAGACUA